rnacentral:rRNA from 1 species
UGCUCCCUGAUGUCAGCGGCGGACGGGUGACUUUACGUGGGUAACCUGCCUGUGAGAAUGGGAUAACUCCGGG